rnacentral:rRNA from 1 species
UACGGAGGGCGCAAGCGUUGUUCGGAAUCACUGGGCGUAAAGCGCGUGUAGGCGGUUCGGCAAGUCGGCUGUGAAAGACCAAGGCUCAACCUCGGAACUGCAGCCGAAACUGGCGGGCUCGAGUCCCGGAGAGGGUGGCGGAAGUUCCGGUGUAGAGGUGAAAUUCGUAGAUAUCGGAAGGAACACCAGAGGCGAAGGCGGCCACCUGGACGGUGACUGACGCUGAGACGCGAAAGCGUGGGGAGCAAACAGG